rnacentral:rRNA from 1 species
UACGUAGGUGGCAAGCGUUGUCCGGAAUUAUUGGGCGUAAAGCGCGCGCAGGCGGUCCUUAAGUCUGAUGUGAAAGCCCACGGCUCAACCGUGGAGGGUCAUUGGAAACUGGGGGACUUGAGUGCAGGAGAGAAAAGUGGAAUUCCACGUGUAGCGGUGAAAUGCGUAGAGAUGUGGAGGAACACCAGUGGCGAAGGCGACUUUUUGGCCGGAUACUGACGCUGAGACGCGAAAGCGUGGGUAGCAAACAGG